AUGAGUGCUGUGCCGGCUUUAGAACAAGAAGAACAACUGGGAGAAGGUCAAGGUGGAGCAAGACAUGGCUGUGGAGGCAUGGCCUGGACGCUCGUCAACCUCGGCCACUUCGUGACUACAUACCACUUCUUCCACUGGAAGAAGGGAACUCCAUUCGCUGAUGAUCAGGGGAUGUAUAAUAGAUGA
rnacentral:rRNA from 1 species